rnacentral:rRNA from 1 species
UUGGGUUAAGUCCCGUAACGAGCGCAACCCUUGUCCUUAGUUACCAGCACGUUAUGGUGGGCACUCUAAGGAGACUGCCGGUGACAAACCGGAGGAAGGUGGGGAUGACGUCAAGUCAUCAUGGCCCUUACGGCCUGGGCUACACACGUGCUACAAUGGUCGGUACAAAGGGUUGCCAAGCCGCGAGGUGGAGCUAAUCCCAUAAAACCGAUCGUAGUCCGGAUCGCAGUCUGCAACUCGACUGCGUGAAGUCGGAAUCGCUAGUAAUCGUGAAUCAGAAUGUCACGGUGAAUACGUUCCCGGCCUU